UACGUAGGGACCAAGCGUUGUUCGGAUUUACUGGGCGUAAAGGGCGCGUAGGCGGCUUAACAAGUCACUUGUGAAAUCUCCGGGCUUAACUCGGAACGGCCAAGUGAAACUGUUAUGCUAGAGUGCAGAAGGGGCAAUCGGAAUUCUUGGUGUAGCGGUGAAAUGCGUAGAUAUCGAGAGGAACACCAGAGGUGAAGACGGGUUGCUGGGCCGACACUGACGCUGACAGCGCGAAAGCCAGGGGAGCAAACGGG
rnacentral:rRNA from 1 species